rnacentral:lncRNA from 1 species
UGAAAACUUUGAUGUUCAUUGAUGUUCUGUAUGCAAUGUGUCUUUUAUUUGCUGUCUGACUUAAAAUUUUGCCUUUAUGUUUCAUUUUCAGUAGUUUGAAUUGAGUAUAUCUUGGAGAUUUUCUUCUGUUUAUUUAUUUGAUAUUUAUGUACAUAUUUUUUUGGGUAUUUAUUCCCUUUGGUAUUUCCUCAGCUUCUUGGAUCUGUGAUUUGUUGUCUGCUGUGGUUUGGAUGACUGUGUCCCCACCUCCUCCAAGAUCAUAUGUAGAAAUCCUAAUGCCCAAGGUGAUGGUGUUAGAAGAUGGGGUUUGGGAAAGGAAAUGAGGUAUUGAAGGCAGAACUCUCACGAAUGACAUUAGUACCCUUCUAGGAGUCCCAAGGGAACUGAGUCAUGCCUUCUAUCUUUUCAUCAUUGAGGAAACAGCAAGAUGGCACUGUCUGUGGACCAGGAAACAGGCCCUCACCAGACACUGAGGCUGUAGGCAAUUUUAUCUUAGAAUUCCCAGGCUCUAUAAUUAUACAAAAUGCAUUUCUGGUGCUUAUAAACUAACCAGUUUAUGGUAUUUUUCUUAUGGCUUAAAUAGACUAAGGCAUUGAAUUCCAAAAAAAUUAUCCAGUACCCCCCCUUUUUUUUCAGUCAUCCCUCUUAAAAUAUAAAUGUUUUGACCUGUUCUGCCC